CAACGCCCCUAUCUCCGCCCACUCGACCGCCACGUGGCAACCGAGUGAGGCCCUAGGCGGACUCGGGCGCCUC
rnacentral:pre_miRNA from 2 species